AAUGCCUGGUCAGUGCCUGAUCUCAUCUGAUCUUGGAAGCUAAGCACGGUCAGGCCUGAUUAGUACUUGGAUGGAAGGAAUGCCUGGUC
rnacentral:rRNA from 1 species